GAUGAAGAACGCAGCGAAAUGCGAUAAGUAAUGCGAAUUGUAGAAUUCAGUGAAUCAUCGAAUCUUUGAACGCACAUUGCGCCCUUUGGUAUUCCAAAGGGCAUGCCUGUUCGAGCGUCAUUUGUACCCUCAAGCUUUGCUUGGUGUUGGGCGUCUUGUCUCUAGCUUUGCUGGAGACUCGCCUUAAAGUAAUUGGCAGCCGGCCUACUGGUUUCGGAGCGCAGCACAAGUCGCACUCUCUAUCAGCAAAGGUCUAGCAUCCAUUAAGCCUUUUUUUCAACUUUUGACCUCGGAUCAGGUAGGGAUACCCGCUGAACUUAAGCAUAUCAAUAAGCGGAGGA
rnacentral:misc_RNA from 1 species